rnacentral:lncRNA from 1 species
GGCCUCAGCCUUUCAGUCCUGCCUCAGCCAGGUCUGCUGGCCUCUUUCCUCUCAGUCCUGGACGGCAGCUCUGAGGUGUCUCCGGACCGCCCCCAUGAGUGUUCCGGUCCUGACCACAGUAAUGCUGCCCUUGUGCCCCGGCUAGGUCAGACACCAUUCAUCAGCACAGCACCCCUUCUCCGUGGGCCUCGGCACCAUCUCCCACUCCUGACACAGGGUCGUGCGGGCGUUUACCAGCGAAGAUAACCUGAGUGGCACAGCUGUCCUCUAAGCCUGAGAUGCAGAUCGCUUCCACUUCUCGAGCCUGAACUGGUGACUGUCUUAGAUAAAUGUAAUCACUCCCAUCCUCUACACACACACACACACACACACACACACACACACACACA